UGAGGAAUAUUGGGCAAUGGACGGAAGUCUGACCCAGCCAUGCCGCGUGAAGGAUGAAGGCGUUCUGCGUUGUAAACUUCUUUUAUCUGGGAAGAAAAGCAUUGUUUCUACGAUGUCCGACGGUACCAGAGGAAUAAGCACCGGCUAACUCCGUGCCAGCAGCCGCGGUAAUACGGAGGGUGCAAGCGUUAUCCGGAUUCACUGGGUUUAAAGGGUGUGUAGGCGGGUGCAUAAGUCAGUGGUGAAAUCUCCGGGCUCAACCCGGAAACUGCCAUUGAUACUAUGUGUCUUGAAUCUUGUUGAGGAGGGCGGAAUAUGUCAUGUAGCGGUGAAAUGCUUAGAUAUGACAUAGAACACCGAUUGCGAAGGCAGCUCUCUAAGCAAGUAUUGACGCUGAGGCACGAAAGCGUGGGGAUCAAACAGG
rnacentral:rRNA from 1 species